UACGAAGGGGGCUAGCGUUGCUCGGAAUCACUGGGCGUAAAGGGUGCGUAGGCGGGUCUUUAAGUCCGAGGUGAAAUCCUGGAGCUCAACUCCAGAACUGCCUUUGAUACUGAGGAUCUUGAGUUCGGGAGAGGUGAGUGGAACUGCGAGUGUAGAGGUGAAAUUCGUAGAUAUUCGCAAGAACACCAGUGGCGAAGGCGGGUCUCUGGGCCGUUACUGACGCUGAGGAGCGAAAGCGUGGGGAGCGAACAGG
rnacentral:rRNA from 1 species